rnacentral:rRNA from 1 species
GUGCCAGCCGCCGCGGUAAUACCGGCAGCCCGAGUGAUGGCCGAUCUUAUUGGGCCUAAAGCGUCCGUAGCUGGCUGCGCAAGUCCGUCGGGAAAUCCACUCGCCCAACGAGUGGGCGUCCGACGGAAACUACAAGGCUUGGGACCGGAAGGCUCGAGGGGUACGUCCGGGGUAGGAGUGAAAUCCUGUAAUCCUGGACGGACCGCCGGUGGCGAAAGCGCCUCGGGAAGACGGACCCGACAGUGAGGGACGAAAGCUCGGGUCUCAAACCGGAUUAGAAACCCGAGUAGUCC